rnacentral:rRNA from 1 species
UACGGGGGGGGCAAGCGUUGUUCGGAAUUACUGGGCGUAAAGGGCUCGUAGGCGGCCAACUAAGUCAGACGUGAAAUCCCCAGGCUCAACCUGGGAACUGCGUCUGAUACUGGAUGGCUUGAAUCCGGGAGAGGGAUGCAGAAUUCCAGGUGUAGCGGUGAAAUGCGUAGAUAUCAGGAGGAACACCGGUGGCGAAGGCGGUUCUCUGGGCAUUACCUGACGCUGAGGAGCGAAAGUGUGGGGAGCGAACAGG